CAUUAAGAAGCUAACUUCAAGCGUUAACCUUUUAAGUUAAAGAUUGAGAGCUCAAACCUCUCCUUAAUGA
rnacentral:tRNA from 1 species